rnacentral:rRNA from 1 species
AUGCCGCCAUGGCCUCGUACUCGUCUCCCUCUCCUUGCAGAAAGCCUCGCAGAGGAAGCUCCUGGUGUGGGACCCCAUAACCGGCGACCAGCACCUCCUGGACAUUCCUCCAGGGUUCCACAUCGAGUCAAUCAGUGCGGCGGUACUUCGUUAUUUGUGAUGGUUGGGGGUUCCUUUUAUUGGUUGCUUUAUGGUUAUGGGAAUUCGCAACAAAUCCUUGAAUUUGAUUUGGAUAAGCGGAGCCUAGCUUUCAUACCCAUGCCAGUGAGUGACAUUGGAGACAUGAGAGAUGGCAAUAUUUGGGUUAUGCCGGCAGAGGGUGGUGGCCUUGGUUUACUCUUUCUGAGAGGCAUUUGUGCCCAAUUAUGGAAGAGGAAGACCGAUUGCAAGGGUGUUGCCUCAUGGGUGCUGGGAAAAACUGUUGAAUUGGACAAGCUACUUUCCCUGAAUUCAGAGAAGCAGAGAGAGCGCCCAAGGAUACUCGGGUUUGCUGAGGACAAUAAUGUGGUGUUAUUGUGGACAUCUGUCGGCGUCUUCACGGUCCAGUUUGAAUCAUUGCAGAUCAAGAAAGUUUUCGAAUCCAGCACCUGGUAUCUCUAUUUUCCAUUCGAAGGUGUCUAUACUGCAGACGGGUGCAUUGGUGGUGGACCCUCUGGAGCUAAACUUUUGUACAAUACAUAA